rnacentral:rRNA from 1 species
GCCUUAUCAUGCAAGUCGAGCGGACAGAUGGGAGCUUGCUCCCUGAUGUUAGCGGCGGACGGGCGAGUAACACGUGGGUAACCUGCCUGUAAGACUGGGAUAACUCCGGGAAACCGGGGCUAAUACCGGAUGCUUGUUUGAACCGCAUGGUUCAAACAUAAAAGGUGGCUUCGGCUACCACUUACAGAUGGACCCGCGGCGCAUUAGCUAGUUGGUGAGGUAAUGGCUCACCAAGGCAACGAUGCGUAGCCGACCUGAGAGGGUGAUCGGCCACACUGGGACUGAGACACGGCCCAGACUCCUACGGGAGGCAGCAGUAGGGAAUCUUCCGCAAUGGACGAAAGUCUGACGGAGCAACGCCGCGUGAGUGAUGAAGGUUUUCGGAUCGUAAAGCUCUGUUGUUAGGGAAGAACAAGUACCGUUCGAAUAGGGCGGUACCUUGACGGUACCUAACCAGAAAGCCACGGCUAACUACGUGCCAGCAGCCGCGGUAAUACGUAGGUGGCAAGCGUUGUCCGGAAUUAUUGGGCGUAAAGGGCUCGCAGGCGGUUCCUUAAGUCUGAUGUGAAAGCCCCCGGCUCAACCGGGGAGGGUCAUUGGAAACUGGGGAACUUGAGUGCAGAAGAGGAGAGUGGAAUUCCACGUGUAGCGGUGAAAUGCGUAGAGAUGUGGAGGAACACCAGUGGCGAAGGCGACUCUCUGGUCUGUAACUGACGCUGAGGAGCGAAAGCGUGGGGAGCGAACAGGAUUAGAUACCCUGGUAGUCCACGCCGUAAACGAUGAGUGCUAGUGUAGGGGGUUUCCGCCCCUUAGUGCUGCAGCUACGCAUA